UGGGGAAUAUUGCACAAUGGGCGCAAGCCUGAUGCAGCCAUGCCGCGUGUGUGAAGAAGGCCUUCGGGUUGUAAAGCACUUUCAGCGAGGAGGAAGGUGGUGAGCUUAGUACGCUCAUCAAUUGACGUUACUCGCAGAAGAAGCACCGGCUAACUCCGUGCCAGCAGCCGCGGUAAUACGGAGGGUGCAAGCGUUAAUCGGAAUUACUGGGCGUAAAGCGCACGCAGGCGGUUUGUUAAGUCAGAUGUGAAAUCCCCGGGCUCAACCUGGGAACUGCAUUUGAAACUGGCAAGCUAGAGUCUCGUAGAGGGGGGUAGAAUUCCAGGUGUAGCGGUGAAAUGCGUAGAGAUCUGGAGGAAUACCGGUGGCGAAGGCGGCCCCCUGGACGAAGACUGACGCUCAGGUGCGAAAGCGUGGGGCAGCAAACAGGAUUAGAUACCCUGGUAGUCCACGCUGUAAAACGAUGUCGAUUUUGGAGGUUGUGCCCUUGAGGCGUGGCUUCCGGAGCUAACGCGUUAAAUCGACCGCCUGGGGAGUACGGCCGCAAGGUUAAAACUCAAAUGAAUUGACGGGGUC
rnacentral:rRNA from 1 species